rnacentral:rRNA from 1 species
GGGGGCCGGUUUUCGGGAUUAUUGGGCGUAAGAGCUUGUAGGCGGUUUGUCGCGUCUGCCGUGAAAAUCCGGGGCUCAACCCCGGACUUGCGAUGGGUACGGGCAGACUAGAGUGUGGUAGGGGAGACUGGAAUUCCUGGUGUAGCGGUGAAAUGCGCAGAUAUCAGGAGGAACACCGAUGGCGAAGGCAGGUCUCUGGGCCACUACUGACGCUGAGAAGCGAAAGCGUGGGGAGCGAACAGGAUUAGAUACCCUGGUAGUCCACGCCGUAAACGUUGGGAACUAGGUGUGGGUCUCAUUCCACGAGAUCUGUGCCGCAGCUAACGCAUUAAGUUCCCCGCCUGGGGAGUACGGCCGCAAGGCUAAAACUCAAAGGAAUUGACGGGGGCCCGCACAAGCGGCGGAGCAUGUGGAUUAAUUCGAUGCAACGCGAAGAACCUUACCAAGGCUUGACAUACACCGGAAACACUCAGAGAUGGGUGCCCCGCAAGGUCGGUGUACAGGUGGUGCAUGGUUGUCGUCAGCUCGUGUCGUGAGAUGUUGGGUUAAGUCCCGCAACGAGCGCAACCCUCGUUCUAUGUUGCCAGCGCGUAAUGGCGGGGACUCAUAGGAGACUGCCGGGGUCAACUCGGAGGAAGGUGGGGAUGACGUCAAAUCAUCAUGCCCCUUAUGUCUUGGGCUUCACACAUGCUACAAUGGCCGGUACAAAGGGCUGCGAAAUCGCAAGAUGGAGCGAAUCCCAAAAAACCGGUCUCAGUUCGGAUUGGGGUCUGCAACUCGACCCCAUGAAGUCGGAGUCGCCAGUAAUCGCAGAUCAGCAACGCUGCGGUGAAUACGUUCCCGGGCCUUGUACACACCGCCCGUCAAGUCACGAAAGUCGGUAACACCCGAGCCGGUGGCCCAACCCUUGUGGAGGGAGCCGUCGAAAGUGGGACUGGCGAUUGGGGACUAAGUCGUAACAAGGUAACCAAGAA